UGCAAAUCUGUUCUCUUGAGCCAAGGUUGAAUCUCUAAUGAUUUCCAAUUACUUCCAGUCUCCAAUCCAAUCAACUCUAGAAAAUACCUACACUAAUCUACUCUAUUCUAUUAUUGAAAUUAAAGAGAGAAGAAGACCAUAGCUUCAGCCCCCAAGGGGUGGAAUAUCCCCUUUUACAACUGAUAUACGUCUAAUAUAUAUAAGCCCU
rnacentral:lncRNA from 1 species